rnacentral:rRNA from 1 species
GGGGAAUAUUGGGCAAUGGGCGAAAGCCUGACCCAGCAACGCCGCGUGAAGGAAGAAGGUUUUCGGAUUGUAAACUUCUGUCCUCAGGGAAGAAGGAAGUGACGGUACCUGAGGAGGAAGCCCCGGCUAACUACGUGCCAGCAGCCGCGGUAAUACGUAGGGGGCGAGCGUUGUCCGGAAUGACUGGGCGUAAAGGGCGCGUAGACGGCUGUCUAAGUCUGGAGUGAAAGUCCUGCUUUCAAGGUGGGAAUUGCUUUGGAGACUGGAUGGCUUGAGUGCGGAAGAGGUAAGUGGAAUUCCCAGUGUAGCGGUGAAAUGCGUAGAGAUUGGGAGGAACACCAGUGGCGAAGGCGACUUACUGGGCCGUAACUGACGUUGAUGCGCGAAAGCGUGGGGAGCGAAC